rnacentral:tRNA from 1 species
GCGGAAGUAGCUCAGUUGAUAGGGCAUUAGCCUUCCAAGCUGAGGGUCGCGGGUUUGAGCCCCGUCUUCCGCU